UACAGAGGUCCCAAGCGUUGUUCGGAUUUACUGGGCGUAAAGCGUGCGUAGGUGGCGAGGCAAGUAUCGUGUGAAAUCCCCGGGCUCAACCCGGGAACUGCACGGUAGACUGCUUUGCUAGAGGGUCGGAGGGGAGUCUGGAAUUCCCGGUGUAGCAGUGAAAUGCGUAGAUAUCGGGAGGAACACCAGUGGCGAAGGCGAGACUCUGGACGACACCUGACACUGAGGCUACGAAGGCCAGGGGAGCAAACGGGAUUAGAUACCCCGGUAGUCCUGGCAGUAAACGGUGCAUGUUUGCUGUGGGCGGAUUCGACCCCGUCCGUGGCGGAGCUAACGCGUUAAACAUGCCGCCUGGGGAGUACGGUCGCAAGAUUA
rnacentral:rRNA from 1 species